UACGUAGGGGGCGAGCGUUGUCCGGAGUUACUGGGCGUAAAGCGCACGCAGGCGGUCUGCUAAGUUUGGAGUGACAGUUGGUGGCUUAACUGCCAAAGUGCUUCGAAAACUGACAGACUUGAGGGCUUCAGAGGGACACGGAAUUCCGGGUGGAGUAGUGAAAUGCGUAGAUAUCUGGAAGAACACCAAUGGCGAAGGCAAUGUUCUGGCUCGUUUCUGACGCUCAGGUGCGAAAGCCAGGGGAGCGAACGGG
rnacentral:rRNA from 1 species